UACGUAGGGUGCAAGCGUUGUCCGGAAUUAUUGGGCGUAAAGAGCUCGUAGGCGGUCUGUCGCGUCGGAUGUGAAAAUCCAGGGCUCAACCCUGGACCUGCAUUCGAUACGGGCAGACUAGAGUUCGGCAGGGGAGACUGGAAUUCCUGGUGUAGCGGUGAAAUGCGCAGAUAUCAGGAGGAACACCGGUGGCGAAGGCGGGUCUCUGGGCCGAUACUGACGCUGAGACGCGAAAGCAUGGGGAGCGAACAGG
rnacentral:rRNA from 1 species